UUAAAGUUGCUAUCAAAGGGUGGGGCUAAGAUAAUAAACUCAGCUGAAUAUUGCAUUUUUUAAGGUCACGUAUCUGUUCUAAAAAGGCGUUAAAAACAUGCGAUGACGUCACACACUGUAAUACUGUCAGAGGUACUGCUUUACGGCAGUUUCUAAAGCACUUCCCUUGUCCCGCAACGAUAACACCAGCUGUUGGAGUCGGACCUUGAUGCUGUGACAACGGACAAGUCUUCUUCCUCUGUCCUUUUCCCCUGCCUCUGUUCAGUAUGUUCAGUGUUGUUAAAUCAUUUCUCUUUUUUUUUUAUUAGUCACUGUUCUUAUUGUGUUCUCGUUAGUGUGAUGUUUGAAUAAACUUGCCUGUUGCAAUGUUGGUAUAAUGUUUGUAUAAUUACUGUUUUACAACUGUUACUGUUUCAAUGUGACCCAGACCAUAUUUCUCAUUUAACAAACAUGUGUAGCUUAUAAUGUGUUGCAUGGCAGAGCAAUUACGGUAUAU